rnacentral:lncRNA from 10 species
UCAGACCUGGACUGGGAUGGACAAGGGAGGUCUCCAGGAGGAGGAGCAUUGGAGGAGAUUCUGGAGAGUGAGAAGCAGUGAGUCCAGCCAGCAGGGGAGGGAAAGAGACGAGGAAACAAUGUGUCCAUGGCACAGGCCAGGGCAUGAGAAGAGGGCAGUGGAUUGGAAGGACCGCUGGGAUGAGUAAUACCUGAGGAGAACCUGCACCACACGUCUAGCACUGGCCUCCGUCCCUUGGUCACUUUGCAGGUGUAGGUAGGAUCCCCGCAGAACUUUAGAGCGGCGGUCUCAUUCCGCCCCCUAGCGUCCAUCCAUCAGAAGCUGAGCGCAGCCUCACCGGAAGCUGUGGAUGAAACCGGUGCCCAGCUGCGCAGAGUAAAGCGCCUGGCGCCAGGACGCAGGAGAGGCGUGUAGGAGAUGCGCCAGAUGCGGCGGCGGGCGAACCUUCACGGGACGUUUCUUAGCGCAGGUUCACCUGUGUCUGCGUUUCCUCCAACAUGCUCUUUGAUAUUCUCAUACAAAUCUCAUGAUUUUCUCCUGUGUCUCAGAGCGUAACAAGUAUUUUGAUGUCUUGUCACCUGUGCUCGUUUUCAUUAUAUAUGUAGCAAUGGUUGCUUACUUAAGUUUCUUACUGGUGGGUUAUUCAUAAAGUAUUUCCCAGCUGAGUAAAAAAUGAAAUUAUCUACUUUAAUAAGCCUUUGGUUGAUCAUUUCUGAAGAUUACUGUCUACUUAUUUCACGAGGGUAUCACCCCUGCAUGCCUUAAGCAAAGAUUCUAUUUGGGGUUGUGUUUUCCUUCUUAAAUUCGGAUACUUCUGUGUUCUGGAAAGUGUUACGUAAUUAAUAUUCAUUUGAAAAAUUCAGUUGGCAUAUCUGUUACUUUGCUUUUACUAUCUUUGCAGUCUCAUAUGUUUUCUUCUGCUUACUUUGUAUUUAAUUUGUUCUUCUUUUCUAGGAUCCUAAGAUGGAAACUUAGAUUAUUGUUUUAGAUUUUUUCUUUUUCAAUAUAUGUGAAGUAUAUCUUAUAUCUUUUAAUUUAAUUUAUACGUAUCUUUUUAAAAUUAAAAGUGGGUGUCUUGUAGACAACAACACAUAGUUUUUUAAUUUGCCGUUUGUGUCUUUUAAUUGGUGCACUUAGACCAGAGACGUUCAUAGUGAUUGUUGAUACAAUUGCAUUAAUACCAACCAUAUUUCUUACUGUUUUAUAUUUGCUGUUCUUGUUCUUUGUUUAUAUUUUUGUAUUCUACUCUUUCUGCAUUGUGUGAUUUCAAUUGAAUAUUUUAUAUUCCAUUCUUAUCCUUUAUUAGCAUAUCAGCAAUAAACUUUUUAAAGUAAUUUCUCUA